rnacentral:rRNA from 1 species
UCCAGACUCCUACGGGAGGCAGCAGUGGGGAAUAUUGCACAAUGGGCGAAAGCCUGAUGCAGCAACGCCGCGUGAAGGAAGAAGGGUUUCGGCUCGUAAACUUCUAUCAACAGGGACGAAAGAAAUGACGGUACCUGAAUAAGAAGCCCCGGCUAACUACGUGCCAGCAGCCGCGGUAAUACGUAGGUGGCAAGCGUUAUCCGGAUUUACUGGGUGUAAAGGGCGUGUAGGCGGGACUGCAAGUCAGAUGUGAAAACCACGGGCUCAACCUGUGGCCUGCAUUUGAAACUGUAGUUCUUGAGUACUGGAGAGGCAGACGGAAUUCCUAGUGUAGCGGUGAAAUGCGUAGAUAUUAGGAGGAACACCAGUGGCGAAGGCGGUCUGCUGGACAGCAACUGACGCUGAGGCGCGAAAGCGUGGGGAGCAAACAGGAUUAGAUACCCCAGUAA